CCACGAGCCUGAGGCUGGAUCGCCGGAUUCAGCCGCCGGCGCCGGCGCAUGCGCCCUCCGAGCCGGCGGGUACUACCAGGCGUGUGCCGCGAGGGUUGGUAGGAGCGUCCCGCCUACCUAGGAUUGGAGAGACACGGACAACUAGACGGGUCCGUGGGGGCGUCACUCAGUGCCCUGUCUUGGAGCCAGUGGGGCUUUCUCGGGGAACUUGGGCGUGGGAGCUCUCAUUGGGUAACUUCAGUGUCCCAGCUUUUGGCAGACUUUGUGGGAACUGGCCUCAGAGAGGGGACGCCGAGUGUGGCGUUAAAGGAUGUUUAGGAGUUGGAAACGCUAAUGAACAAAGAGUGUUCAGAGGUACAAUGUCAUGGAAGGACGGAGAUUUUGAUAUAGGGCUGUUUAUGAGGUUCUCAAAGGCUAGCUGGGGAGUGAAGACUUUAUACAGGUGGGGCAGUGCAACCAUCUGGGAUUCAGGUCCAGGCUUAGUCCCAGGAGAUGAGAACCUCAAAAAAGUGUCCCUGGGAAAGGUGGACGGUGUGUCAGGGUUGGCCUGAAGCCAGAUGGAAAGCUGCCUCAGUAGGCCCUCGAACAGUGACCUUGGGGGUGGGGAGGGGCAAGAGUUGAUACUUCUUGGAGGUUUUGAACUGUGGUUCCCAGGGAAUGUCAGAUGAGGGGCUGCAGGCUGCCUCUGCAUGGACCUGAGAGCUUACCCAUUACGUUUCCCGCACCUCACUAUUACAGACUUCAGUGCUUGCCUUCUAUUCUGACUCCUUGCUUCUCACACAAACCUGCGUUUUCCUGAGGGAGAUUAUUUCUUAGAAGAUAUCCCAACCUAUUCCUGGCUUCAUAAAUCGCAGCUGUGUAGAGGAACUUAAGUAAACUUGGACAUAUUUUACAAACUCAUCUAAUUCUCCUAAUGAUGGAAGUGAAAAGUGAAAGUGUUAGUCGUUCAGUCUUGUCCAACUCUUUGUGACCCAUGGACUGUAGCGUGCCAGGCUCCUCUGCCCAUGCAAUUCUCCAGGCAAGAAUACCCUUCUUGCCCUUCUCCAGGGGAUCUUCCCAACCCAAGGACUGAACCUAGGUCUCCUGCAUUGCAGGCAGAUUCUUUACUGUCUGAACCACCAGGGAAACCUAAUGAUGGAAAAUAUAUCAAAUGGCAUGUCAGCAGUUCUAACCUGACCUGGUAUAAUCCAGGGAUUCCUAUGAACUGAUAACCAGAUGGACAGACCUUAGCUGGGCCUUCCCGUGCACACUGAUCUGCUCCCUAUGACCUCUAGGAUGGAGUUUCCAUGAAGCCUGGAUUGCUGACUUGACUACCUGACUCUGACUGCCUGGAAUAAUAAGAGCCUCUCUGCCCAUGUUAUGAUGGUCUUCACUGUGUUUCCUCCUGUGUUUCAGUCAUCUUUGUGUCUGACCCCAGUUCACCCCAGGCCGCUACUUUCAGCAUGGUGACCUCCACAGGGAGGCUCAGGAGGCAAAGAUGAAGAUGCCAACGGUGGUGGCGAGGAAUGACAAACUUUGCCAGCAAGAAGAGCAUGGAG
ensembl:lncRNA